GGACUCUCUAGCUCUUCAAGUUCCUGGCAUGCUCUUCAAUGCACUUGAGCCAGAUUACCUAUUACAGCGAGGAGCAAUUCUCUGAAAUGAAAUUAUGGACUGUUAUAGAUGAAAAGGAUCUUAGCGGUCAUCCAUUUUAUCCAACCCUCUCACUCUAAGGAGGAAACUGAGGCACGGAGAUGUGAAGUGCUCUGCUCUUGGCCACCCAGGGAGCAGAGGAGCUAGAACCGGAACCCAGGUAGGUCUCUUGUCUCCUGGUCCACGUUGUCUCCUACAUUUUUAGAGUGGGGUAGGGUUACAGGAUAGAGGUCAUAGGAGCUUUUAAUGAAGCUGGGG
rnacentral:lncRNA from 1 species